UACGUAGGGUGCAAGCGUUGUCCGGAAUUAUUGGGCGUAAAGAGCUCGUAGGCGGUCUGUUGCGUCGGCUGUGAAAACCCGAGGCUCAACCUCGGGCCUGCAGCCGAUACGGGCAGACUAGAGUUCGGCAGGGGGAGACUGGAAUUCCGUGGUGAUAGCGGUGAAAUGCGCAGAUAGUCAGGAGGAACACCGGUGGCGAAGGCGGGUCUCUGGGCCGAUA
rnacentral:rRNA from 1 species